rnacentral:rRNA from 1 species
AUUGAACGCUGGCGGCAGGCCUAACACAUGCAAGUCGAGCGGAUGAAGGGAGCUUGCUCCUGGAUUCAGCGGAGGACGGGUGAGUAAUGCCUAGGAAUCUGCCUGGUAGUGGGGGAUAACGUCCGGAAACGGGCGCUAAUACCGCAUACGUCCUGAGGGAGAAAGUGGGGGAUCUUCGGACCUCACGCUAUCAGAUGAGCCUAGGUCGGAUUAGCUAGUUGGUGGGGUAAAGGCCUACCAAGGCGACGAUCCGUAACUGGUCUGAGAGGAUGAUCAGUCACACUGGAACUGAGACACGGUCCAGACUCCUACGGGAGGCAGCAGUGGGGAAUAUUGGACAAUGGGCGAAAGCCUGAUCCAGCCAUGCCGCGUGUGUGAAGAAGGUCUUCGGAUGGUAAAGCACUUUAAGUUGGGAGGAAGGGCAGUAAGUUAAUACCUUGCUGUUUUGACGUUACCAACAGAAUAAGCACCGGCUAACUUCGUG